ACAGACGAUGAGGUUGAUAGGUUCGGUGUGGAAGCGUGGUAACACGUGGAGCUGACGAAUACUAAUCGGUCGAGGACUUAUCCACA
rnacentral:rRNA from 1 species